AAAAAAGCAGGGCCUCAUUGCCUCUUGUGGAUGGAGCUCUCCUAAACUUUAGGAAAAUCAAUUUCAUUAUUAUUGGGUGAACCUCUGUAUAAUGUAAUGACUGAUGGUUCAGUAAAUGAAGGAACAAUU